rnacentral:rRNA from 1 species
AUUGAACGCUGGCGGAAUGCUUUACACAUGCCAGUCGAACGGCAGCACGGGGGCAGCCCUGGUGGCGAGUGGCGAACGGGUGAGUAAUACAUCGGAACGUGCCCGGUCGUGGGGGAUAACGUAGCGAAAGUUACGCUAAUACCGCAUACGAUCUGAGGAUGAAAGCGGGGGACCUUCGGGCCUCGCGCGAUCGGAGCGGCCGAUGUCAGAUUAGGUAGUUGGUGGGGUAAAGGCCUACCAAGCCGACGAUCUGUAGCUGGUCUGAGAGGACGACCAGCCACACUGGGACUGAGACACGGCCCAGACUCCUACGGGAGGCAGCAGUGGGGAAUUUUGGACAAUGGGCGCAAGCCUGAUCCAGCCAUUCCGCGUGCAGGACGAAGGCCUUCGGGUUGUAAACUGCUUUUGUACGGAACGAAAAGGCUCUGGCUAAUACCUGGGGCUCAUGACGGUACCGUAAGAAUAAGCACCGGCUAACUACGU